rnacentral:rRNA from 1 species
CCUUGAAAUACCACCCUUUAAUGUUUGAUGUUCUAACGUUGACCCGUAAUCCGGGUUGCGGACAGUGUCUGGUGGGUAGUUUGACUGGGGCGGUCUCCUCCUAAAGAGUAACGGAGGAGCACGAAGGUUGGCUAAUCCUGGUCGGACAUCAGGAGGUUAGUGCAAUGGCAUAAGCCAGCUUGACUGCGAGCGUGACGGCGCGAGCAGGUGCGAAAGCAGGUCAUAGUGAUCCGGUGGUUCUGAAUGGAAGGGCCAUCGCUCAACGGAUAAAAGGUACUCCGGGGAUAACAGGCUGAUACCGCCCAAGAGUUCAUAUCGACGGCGGUGUUUGGCACCUCGAUGUCGGCUCAUCACAUCCUGGGGCUGAAGUAGGUCCCAAGGGUAUGGCUGUUCGCCAUUUAAAGUGGUACGCGAGCUGGGUUUAGAACGUCGUGAGACAGUUCGGUCCCUAUCUGCCGUGGGCGCUGGAGAACUGAGGGGGGCUGCUCCUAGUACGAGAGGACCGGAGUGGACGCAUCACUGGUGUUCGGGUUGUCAUGCCAAUGGCACUGCCCGGUAGCUAAAUGCGGAAGAGAUAAGUGCUGAAAGCAUCUAAGCACGAAACUUGCCCCGAGAUGAGUUCUCCCUGACUCCUUGAGAGUCCUGAAGGAACGUUGAAGACGACGACGUUGAUAGGCCGGGUGUGUAAGCGCAGCGAUGCGUUGAGCUAACCGGUACUAAUGAACCGUGAGG